AACGAACGCUGGCGGCAUGCCUAACACAUGCAAGUCGAACGAGACCUUCGGGUCUAGUGGCGCACGGGUGCGUAACGCGUGGGAACCUGCCCUUAGGCUCGGAAUAACUCCCCGAAAGGGGUGCUAAUACCGGAUAAUGUCUUCUGACCAAAGAUUUAUCGCCUUUGUAUGGGCCCGCGUUGGAUUAGCUAGUUGGGAGUGUAAAAGCCUACCAAGGCUACGAUCCAUAGCUGGUCUGAGAGGAUGAGCAGCCACACUGGGACUGAGACACGGCCCAGACUCCUACGGGAGGGAGCAGUGGGGAAUAUUGGACAAUGGGCGAAAGCCUGAUCCAGCAAUGCCGCGUGAGUGAUGAAGGCGUUAGGGUUGUAAAGCUCUUUUACACGGGAUGAUAAUGACAGUACCGGGAGAAUAAGCACCGGCUAACUCCGUG
rnacentral:rRNA from 1 species